GACGAACGCUGGCGGCGCGCUUAACACAUGCAAGUCGAACGGAAAGGCCUGCUUUCCCUUGUGGAUUGCGGGUACUCGAGUGGCGAACGGGUGAGUAACACGUGAGUGAUCUGCCCCCAACUUGGGUAUAAGCCUGGGAAACUGGGUCUAAUUCCCGAUAGGACUGCAGGGUGGUGCCUGUGGUGGAAAACGAUUUUCUAGUGGUUGGGGAUGAGCUCGCGGCCUAUCAGCUUGUUGGUGGGGUAAUGGCCUACCAAGGCGGCGACGGGUAGCCGGCCUGAGAGGGUGGACGGCCACAUUGGGACUGAGAUACGGCCCAGACUCCUACGGGAGGCAGCAGUGGGGAAUAUUGCACAAUGGGCGGAAGCCUGAUGCAGCGACGCCGCGUGGGGGAUGACGGCCUUCGGGUUGUAAACUCCUUUCGACCGAGAGGAAGCCACCUGGUUGGAAGGGUGGUGACGGUAGUGGUAGAAGAAGCACCGGCUAACUACGUG
rnacentral:rRNA from 1 species